CUCCCAAAGUGCUAGGAUUAUAGGCAUAAACUCCCAUGCCCAGCCCUAAUCCUUAUUUUUUAAUUUAUUUAAUCCCUAUUACUAGACAUAUAGGUUACCUCUAAUUUUUCUCUAAGUUACACUGGAAGGAGAAACCAUCAGGAUGUUGCUGUGAGUCUUCAGCAUUGAGAUUCUCCAUCUCUCCAAAGAUAACAGUGAUAGAUUAAAACAUACACAUACACGGUUAAUAAACAUACUUUUGGAAAGAAUAUGGCUCUAUAAUUCUGUGUCUUUUCUCCUCUAGAAAUCAAAAAACAAAAGAAAGAGAAUAAGAAGAAAAAUGCCUGAGCUUCCAUUUUCAGUGAACUGAAAGAUAUAUAGACUCCAGAUAAUGUUUAUUAAAGGCCACCAAAAGCAUCUAAGAAAGGGACAAAGGCUAUGAGUUUAAAUAUACUUAUUGGAGGAGUCCUUCAUACCCAGGUAAUAAGUAGUAUGCUGACAGUUGAAGCAUGAGAAAAAAACAGGAAAAGAGGGAGUAGAAAGUAAAGAAAAUGCAAGGUAAAUGUAACAAAACAAAAUAGAAAUAUAAUCAGUCAUAAUGGCUUAAGUAUAUGUACUUAAAAGUUAUAAUAUGUUAAAAAUAAUUUAACUGCUACUUACAAUAGAUAUACUCAAA